rnacentral:rRNA from 1 species
UGCAACGCGAAGUAACCUUACCAAGGCUUGACAUACACCGGUAACGCCCAGAGAUGGGUGCCCCUUUGUGGUCGGUGUACAGGUGGUGCAUGGUUGUCGUCAGCUCGUGUCGUGAGAUGUUGGGUUAAGUCCCGCAACGAGCGCAACCCUCGUCCUAUGUUGCCAGCGGGUCAUGCCGGGGACUCAUGGGAGACUGCCGGGGUCAACUCGGAGGAAGUGGGGAUGACGUCAAAUCAUCAUGCCCCUUAUGUCUUGGGCUUCACGCAUGCUACAAUGGCCGGUACAAAGGGCUGCGAUACCGCGAGGUGGAGCGAAUCCCAGAAAGCCGAUCUCAGUUCGGAUUGGGGUCUGCAACUCGCCUACAUGAAGUCGGAAUCGCUAGUAAUCGCGGAUCAGCACGCCGCGGUGAAUACGUUCCCGGGCCUU